GAUGAAGAACGUAGUGAAAUGCGAUAAGUAGUGUGAAUUGCAGAAUUCAGUGAAUCAUCGAAUCUUUGAACGCACAUUGCGCCCCUUGGUAUUCCGUGGGGCAUGCCUGUUCGAGCGUCAUUUGUACCCUCAAGCUUUGCUUGGUGUUGGGCGUCUUGUCGUAUUACGACUCGCCUUAAAUACAUUGGCAGCCGGCACUUUGGCCUAGGAGCGCAGCACAUUUUGCGAUCGUAGCCCGUUGUACUGGCGUCCAUCAAGAACAUUUACCACGUUUGACCUCGGAUCAGGUAGGGAUACCCGCUGAACUUAAGCAUAUCAAUAAGCGGAGGA
rnacentral:misc_RNA from 1 species